AAAAGAGCAUUGUAAAGCGAUAACGACGAGAAGUGGAAGGGAGUUGAUUAGUGAGAGUAAAAAAAGAGAGGAUGAGAAAAAAGACGAGGAGAAAAAAAUAGAGGAUAGCAUUGAUGGUGAAGUUGGGGAGUGGAGUGAGGAAGAAGUUGAAAAUAAUGAAAAAAAUGGUGAAGUAGAAAAUAAAGAAAGUGUGGAAGUCGAAA
rnacentral:lncRNA from 1 species